ACGAAAGGUAAGCCAGGGUUUUGCAGAGAGCUUCAAAAUGACAAUGACGACUGUCAUUCUAACCUCCGAAGAAGAUCCGGCGCUCGCAGUCGUCCAGUUCACUGCCGAUCUCGCUUGGGGCGAUGGUUGUGGAGCCGCAAUUGGGAGCCGCAAUUGACGAGGCUCUUUAUGGAAGUGCAAGAGUCUAUGGUGAUGGGAAGAUGGUUGGAUUUGGCUUCUUAAAAUGCUUACUUCUGCUGAUUUAGUCUUUUCCAAGGUCUCUGAUAAAGAUCUUGAGUGUAUCUUUACCGUUAUCUGCAAUCUUGUCUCAAAGCUUGAAAAUCCACAUGAUGAACUUGAGGUGGCAAAACUCAUAUCAGCAAAAAUCACUCAACAACCAAAUGACAAGCCUGCAAUGCGUCUAAAGAUGUAACGUGCAAUGAUUAUCCAGAAUUAUAGCUUAUAGUAUUUUCAACGCUCUCUCUCAUGUUUCUAAUUUUCUCUUUCCAGCAUGUUUAAUCUCUAUAAUUUGUUGGAGGGCCCGGAUAAUAGGUUCUUUGUAUACAUGCAAGCCUUAAAUUUGGCUUUGAAUGGAAAAGUUACUGAUCAUAUUAUAUCAUUUUUCAAAAUGAUUGAUAGUGUCUUGAAAGAGUGGAAUAUAUCAAGGAUCAAAGGGACCUCUUCCUUACCAUUGCACACGUACUGAAAGAAAACAAGAGGCAUAUAGGAACCUCAAAGAAUAAAUUAUGCCUUUACCUUUAUGUGAUUAUACUUGUUCUGUUAUAUUGGUUGUACUCUUACAUUCUGCAAAUCCAGCUCAGGAAAGGAUUCUUUCAAUUCUUGACCAAGUAUUUGGCAACUUUCUCUGGUGAGGACUCAUACAUAACAAGUGAAGCUAAAGAGGAAGCUGUGCGCACUGUCAUAGAAGUUGUGAAGGCACCUUACAUGUUUCAGGUAUCUUAAUAUCUUACUGAUGUUGCAGAUCCUAGCUGGUCUGUAUAUAUACGUUUCUUCAUUUUAAGCUUAUUUUAUUCUAGCCAUUUCCAUGCUCCUCCAACAACAACCCCCUUAUAUUUUCUGGCUUUUUAAACUUUUUUUUAUGUCAUCCCUCUAGAACUUUUUAAAGAUUUGGCUUGUUUGUUUCCCCCAUUCUAGCAUUGUUUUGCAUGAGCAUUUAUUUUUCUGCAUUUUUCUUGUUUAAGCUCAGGGUUAGUUGCUCAUAGAUUAAUUUUUGUUGUCUUUUUGCAGAGUGAUCUAUUAGAUAUGCCUGAUGUAGUGCAAUUGGAGAAGGAUGCUAAACAUGCAUUGGUCUAUCAGCUUCUGAAGAUAUUUCUGACUCAGCAGUUGAUUGCCUUUCUGGAAUUUCAGGCUGCAAAUUCUACCUUAAUGAAAAGUUAUGGUAAUGUUUUGUCUUUCUUUUUAACUAUUAUUAUGGGCUACCGCAUGAGCUAAAGUCCCUCCAAAUUUCAAUAUAUUUCAAUAUUAUUGCUCUCCAUGGUUCAGGUCUUCUUCAUGAAGAUUGUAUAACUAAGAUGAGGUUGUUGUCAUUGGUUGGUCUUGGCUCUAAUGAAUCUGGAAAAAUUCCAUAUGCCAUCAUCAAGGAUACUCUUAGAGUAAACUUGCUUAGCUACCUGUUCACCAUGUUUGUUGCAUAAUUGAUACAAUUUCUUAGCCUACUGCAAGUUGAUAGGUUGUACAAGUAAUAUAGUAGGAAGUAUGAAACUGUCAUCUCCAUCGGGAUUGGGUGCUAUACUUAGGUACUGUUUCUACACCUAUGGUAUGUCUAGUCAACAGAAAUUUUGUUUUCUAAUUAUCCUAUAUGAAUUAAACAUUACCAAAUAGUAAAAAUCUAUGUACUACAAAUUAUGAAAAAGUUUAACUAACUAAAGACUAAAGCUUACUAAAAAUAGAACAUGCUAAAAAUAGAAAGUUUCUAAAAAGAGAAAGUCUAACAACUAAGCAAAAAAUUUGCUAAGGCAUGAAAUACAGUUUAAGCAUAAUUAAAUUGGGAACUAAACAUUAAGGCAUAAAAAUUUAAAUGCAGGAAAUUAAAGUAAAAACAGAAAAUUAAACUUGCAAUUAAAUUAACCUAAAUUCCCAAAUGACCUAUGCACCUAUUUGCUACUCUUAACAUGUAUGAAAUAUAAAAGAACAUAAAAACUGAUUUUAAUAAUUAAAAUAGACCUAAAAUGUAACAUCUAACCUAUAGGAAUCUACAUGCAAAACAGAAUCUAAAUGGAAGAGAAAUGGCAUGCAAAAAUUGAAACAUGAAAAUGCAAGUUAAUGCUACCUAUGACCUAAACUGCUUGGAAAACAUGUACUAACCAAAAAGGAAUUGUAAAAACUGGGUUCAUGGUUUUAAAGUAGACUUGAAAAUAAGCUUAAAAUUUGUAGGUAAACAUUUUCUAAAGGUGACCAGAAUUGAAGCAAAACAGUUUUGAAAAUUUGGUAAUGGAAGCUAACGUAAACUAAUGACCUAAUAAGCUAAAUGCAAUCAAAAGUGAAAAUACCUACUUGCUACAUGAAAACCAAUAGUACAAAAUCGUAAUAGGCUGCAAAAUGAAGGAAAAAUGCAUAGGCAACAUUAAGCAAAAAGAGAACAGAAUGUGGAUAAAAUCCGGGUUGAAAGCAAAAUUAAAAGUUAACCUAACCUAAGAACUUAUCAACUUAAAUGCUACCAAAGCUGGAAAUUUUUACAUAAAACUUGAAAACCAACAGCACAAGCUUAAAAUAGACUUAAAAAUGGCAGAAAACAUGUAACAAAAACUGAACAGAUCAUGAAGAAAAACUGGGCGGUAGAUGCCUGAAGAGAAUGUAAUGUAAAUGUAAGAAAUAAGCAUCUAUGACUAAGUCAUUAAAUCGAGCAUGUAAAGAACUUGUAAAUAUAAAAUAAGAGCAAUAAAACAAGAAACAGUAAAUAAACAACUUGCAAUUGUAAAUAAAAGAGCAUAAUAAAAACUGGCAGAAAAACUAAAUAGCAUCAAAUGUAAAGAGCCAGAAUUUAAAGCACAUAAUGAUCAAGUUCAUGGAGCCCUAUGAUGAGACCAUCACAUUAGCAUCCAAGGCCAUCCUUUCUAAGCUUUAAACAGCUCUAGAACAAGCAAUAGUUGCUGGAAAAUUAAAAGGAGCCGGAAGCUGAAAGCAUAAAAUAAAAACUGGCAGUAGUGAAAAGAAUCUGAACUUGUAUUUAACGAAGGUAAUAAAAAAUCAAAGUUUGAAGGUUGCAAGGAAAUGUAAAUAAAACAAACUACAAGAGAACUUAAAGAACAAUAAAAGAACUGAGAAAAUAACUAGAACAGCAAGUAAAAUAGAGCUUCAAUGGAGGUCUGAUCGGCCAGCAAGCAUGCUGCCAUCAGAGCUUGGAUGCUUGAAAGAAAACUUCAUAGGAAAACAAAAAAAAAAACCUUCUAAAGUCAGCUGUUGGGGUCCUAUUUAUAAGCAAUUUUGGGUUCUCCUCUAGCUGAUCAAUGAUCCAAAAUGCACAAUCCCAGCCCUUCAAACAGCCAGCUCAGAGGGAAAUUCUGGACUGUUGUAGAAGCUCCCAGGCCGCACCAAAAUUCUGACUUGGCAUUUCCAGCUCAGCUCCUUCCCAUGUGAUGCUUGCUUGGCUAGUCCAAUGAGGUGUCUUGAGAGCUCCACAAGUGAGGUGAGUUGUCAUCCUUCUAAGGCCUUCAAAGGUUGCAUCUUGAGCUGUCCAAGUGGACCAAACAGCAGCUGGCAGCAAAUCAUGACAAGGCUGGCAGCAUUCUUGGUUCAGCUGAGGUAGGUGUCAUCUUCUCUCAUUCAUGCAGCCCAUGUGAAGAUUUUAGGUGGGCCAAUACCUUCUUCUUGAAGUGCCAUAUCAUCCUCUAGUUCAGCUAGUUCUCCUUCCUUUAGAAUUUAAGCAAAAACCGUGACACAUAGAUCAAGGAAAGCCGCAGAAUUUUUUUGUGUCUUUUUGUGCAACAAGCAAUUGAAUUUUUCCUUUGCUCUUCUUGGACAUUGACUUGGCUCGUAAUGGCUCUCUUAAUGGCGCAUCAGCUGGCUUGUUCUUUCUUGAGCUUCAAAGGCAGCACCUUUGGUUGUCCAAAUGAGCCAAUCAUUAGCCAGCAGCAAAUCAGGACAGCUUGGGGUAUAUUUGGCCUUACUAGGGAAGUUUGCUUCUCCAAGCUUGUUGGUAGCCAUGUGACUUCUCCAAGGUGUACCAAAAUAUUUCCCAAGAGAAUGCCAAGUUAUCUGCUAGCUCAACUCCACCUUAAUCUUCUGAAAUCCUCUCCAAACCAUAACCUCAAGGGAUCAUGGCAGCUUGCAAAUUCCAGCUAGCUCGCGUGAAUAGCCUUCUCCAUUCUUGGUGAUCCUUAUGCUAUCAUUUUGGCCAAUAAGAGAGCAUUUUAAUUCCACAUCAUCCUGAAUUUUCUAGUCCAAAAUUCCUUCUAGAAGCCAACAAUUAUAGCAGAACAAAAUUUUCAAUUUAAGUCUCCUAGGUUCGGCUAUCAUCUAAUGCACAUGCUUCUAUUAUCUAGUCCACUAGUUGUUAUUCCAUCACCUCUCAUCCUUUUGACUUGAUCAAGGUCAAAAUAUGACUCCAAUCAGCUCAUGGUCAGCUCAUAUCCUAUUCCAAGUCAACUUCCUAAAAGUCCAUAUUGUCUAGGGUGCUCUAUUCAUGAUCUUGGUCAUAAGCUAAGGUAAGCAUUCUUGCACUAGCUUGAUCCAUACGAUUUGGUUAUGGGGUUCUUAGAAUUAUGGCAUCCUUGCUCCUCCAUUUUUGACCUUGAUUUGCAUUUUUAACUUAGUAACCUACACAAAAGACAAAGUAAUCAAGCUUAGGGGAAUUUGCAAGAAUUUGCAAAAGAUUAAGCUAAAAUUAAGUCUAGAAUGGUGUAUGAAAUAAAGCCUAGGAUAAUUCUAUAAAUAUAGAAUUAUCACACCUCCAAACUUAAUCUUUUGCUUGUCCUUAAGAAAAAUCAAAAUUAAGCUAUUAGUUAAUUCUACUUCUCAUGAUGAAUUGAUAAUGCAUGCAUUAAGAAUUGCAUAAUGACUAUAGCUUAAGGUCAACAUAAAUAUGUGCUAAUCACAAGAAUCAUCGUAGAUCAUGCAUCAAUUUAAUUGAAGUAGUAUUGUGUGUGCAUCAUUCUUCACAUAUCGACACAUAUCAUCUAGUUGUGAAUAUAUAAUCAAGGAAUUAAUAAAGCAUUAGCAAAGAGCACCUAUAUUUUAUAUGUUUAUCUUUCACACCUCUACUCUAAUGUAUAACAUCACCAAAUUAAGGAUCCUUAGGUCUUUAUAAGCUUGUAAUGUUAAGCUAGGGUAAAGGUAGGAUAAAAAGAUAUUUUAGGUUUAAAUACCUUAAUCAUGCAUUACUAAUUUAGGAUUGUUAGCCUUGAAUUGAUCAAGUAUUUUGAAAUGACAAAAUAAAAAUUUGCUAAACUUGAAUUAAAUUGGUUUGAACUCAAAUUGAAUAUUUUUCUAGCUUUUUAUUGAGUGAAAAAUGGGUUUAAAA